GAUGAACGCUGGCGGCGUGCCUAACACAUGCAAGUCGAACGAAGCGCCUUACCGGAUUCUUCGGAUGAAGGUCUGGUGACUGAGUGGCGGACGGGUGAGUAACGCGUGGGUAACCUGCCCUGUACAGGGGGAUAACAGCUGGAAACGGCUGCUAAUACCGCAUAAGCGCACGAGGAGACAUCUCCUUGUGUGAAAAACUCCGGUGGUACAGGAUGGGCCCGCGUCUGAUUAGCUGGUUGGCAGGGUAACGGCCUACCAAGGCAACGAUCAGUAGCCGGUCUGAGAGGAUGAACGGCCACAUUGGAACUGAGACACGGUCCAAACUCCUACGGGAGGCAGCAGUGGGGAAUAUUGCACAAUGGGGGAAACCCUGAUGCAGCAACGCCGCGUGAGUGAAGAAGUAUUUCGGUAUGUAAAGCUCUAUCAGCAGGGAAGAUAAUGACGGUACCUGACGAAGAAGCGCCGGCUAAAUACGUG
rnacentral:rRNA from 1 species